AUUGAACGCUGGCGGCAUGCCUUACACAUGCAAGUCGAACGGCAGCACGGGGGCAACCCUGGUGGCGAGUGGCGAACGGGUGAGUAAAGCAUCGGAACGUGCCCUGGAGUGGGGGGAUAACGUAGCGAAAGUUACGCUAAUACCGCAUAUUCUGUGAGCAGGAAAGCAGGGGAUCGCAAGACCUUGCGCUCUGGGAGCGGCCGAUGUCGGAUUAGCUAGUUGGUGGGGUAAAGGCCUACCAAGGCGACGAUCCGUAGCGGGUCUGAGAGGAUGAUCCGCCACACUGGGACUGAGACACGGCCCAGACUCCUACGGGAGGCAGCAGUGGGAAUUUUGGACAAUGGCGGAAGCCUGAUCAGCCAUGCCGCGUGAGUGAAGAAGGCCUC
rnacentral:rRNA from 1 species